rnacentral:tRNA from 1 species
GGACGAUUAACUCAGCGGGAGAGUGCUACCUUCACACGGUAGAAGUCACAAGUUCAAAUCUUGUAUCGUCCA